GAGUUUGUAUCCUGGCUCAGGACGAACGCUGGUGGCGCGCCUAAUACAUGCAAGUCGAACGGGUUGCCUUCGGGCAGCCAGGUGGCGGACGGGUGAGUAACACGGUGGGUGGACCUGCCCUGGAGUGGGGAAUAACGCUGCGAAAGGCAGCGCUAAUACCGCAUAUGCUUAGCCCUUCACUGGGUUAAGUAAAGCUUGGAUGCGCUCUAGGAGGGGCCUGCGGCAGAUUAGCUAGUCGUGGGGUAAUGGCCUACCGAGGCGACGAUCUGUAGCUGGUCUGAGAGGAUGACCAGCCCACACUGGGACUGAGACACGGCCCAGACUCCUACGGGAGGCAGCAGUAA
rnacentral:rRNA from 1 species